UUAGCAUAUUUUUACUGAGAUUGCUUUGUUAUAUCGAUGAAUUGGAAUUUCAGUUUGAAAGUAUUUCUUGGCAGUUGGACAAUUAGAAUAUCUUUCAAUCAUCACACGAUCUAAGCUUGUUCUCUAAAAAUCUUGUCUAUUUCUGCUGAAAGGACCUGUUGUGACCAUUCAGCACGAUCGUACCGAUUGAAGGAAGUCAAGGUUUGCAAGCUUCAAGUUUGGGUUGUAUAAUACUAUCAUCUAAAAGAAAAUAAAAACUAAAUUUAUGACCUGGUCCUAUGAAAAUCCAUUUGUUUUAUUUCAUCGACAAAGCAAAUAAAC